UACAGAGGGUGCGAGCGUUGUCCGGAAUCACUGGGCGUAAAGGGCGCGUAGGUGGCGGCCCAAGUCCGUGGUGAAAGCUCGCCGCUUAACGGCGAGUCGGCCACGGAGACUGGGUGGCUCGAGCACUGUAGGGGCUAAUGGAAUUCCGGGUGUAGCGGUGGAAUGCGUAGAGAUCCGGAAGAACACCAGUGGCGAAGGCGGUUAGCUGGGCAGUUGCUGACACUGAGGCGCGACAGCGUGGGGAGCAAACAGG
rnacentral:rRNA from 1 species